rnacentral:rRNA from 1 species
GACGAGGGAUCCUAGCGUUGUUCGGAAUCAUUGGGCGUAAAGCGGGUGUAGGUGGUCUAAUAAGUCAGGUGUGAAAUCCCAGGGCUCAACCCUGGAAGUGCAUUUGAUACUGUUAGGCUUGAGUGUGGGAGAGGCUAGUAGAAUUCCUGGUGUAGUGGUGAAAUACGUAGAUAUCUGGAGGAACACCGGUGGCGAAGGCGGCAUCCUGGACCGGUAUUGACGCUGAGGAGCGAAAGCCAGGGGAGCAAACGGG